AUGAAAAGCAAGGUGGUGAUACAUGUGAAGCGUUGGACACCACCAGCGGAGGAAUGGAUUAAAAUAAAUGUUGAUGGCUCUUUCAAAGCGACAAAUUGGAAUGGCGGGUGGGGCGCUGUGCCUCGAAACCAUGAUGGAGAGGUGGUAUCUUGCGCUGCAGGUUUUCUUCCAAACAUUCAAAGUGCUUUGCACUCUGAGGUGCUUGCCACUGAAGCUGGGCUUAGACUAGCGGCGGAGUUGGGAGUUCUGAAGGUUGUGUUAGAAACUGAUGCACUACUACUGAAGGAAGCACUUGAAGAGGAGGGUAUCAAUUUCUCCUGUUUGGGGGUUGUAUUUGAUCGGCUCAAAACUUUUAUUCGUAGCCAGUUCAUGGGGUAUAAGAUUGAGUACUGCCCCAGAAUAUGUAAUCAAGUAGCGCAUGCUUUGGCUGCGAAGGGAGCGCUUAUUGCCGGUGUGCCUGACUCUGUAUCUGACGGAUGUGAUCCAUGUGUAUCUGCUCUGGUGGCAAGUGACUGCGCUUCG
rnacentral:rRNA from 1 species